AGGAAGGAAACUGAGUUGAUGAAAGAGGCUUGAGUAAAAGAAAAGUUGUUCCAAGUUAUUGAAAGAGUAAAUACUGGAAGAGAAGUAACUUUGCAAGACAUGGCAAUGGUAGGAGAAUACAAAGAUCAUAAAGGAGUACCUCACCAUGAAAGCCAGAUUUAACAAGCAAUCAUUUUGGCAGCAGUGCCCAUAGCAACACCGACUGGUACAAGGAAGACUGCAACAAUACUGCAGGCUUCUACCACGAGAGAGGCAAUUGAAUCAACAGUUUACGCUGGCUCAGCAGUGCAGUCUGUUGUCACUUCUCUCCAAACAGGGCUAAACAGUGCUACUGCCAAGCAUCCAAUCAGGAUGAGUGCUGGAUUACAAUCACUGCAUAUAUUCAAAGUUAUUGUACAGUCUAAAGGAAAAGAGAAGGGAACAACUUACCAGUCAAAACCCUCCACUUUUGGGUCAUUGGAAAGGGCACUAAACACAGUACAGCAUGAAUAAGAGCACAGAUUAAGAAUCUAUCUCCUAAUGUGAACAAGUCUGUAGAGAAAACUGCUUUUUUACAAGUGCCACUGUAUGAUCUCUUCAAAGUAAAACUUAUAGUUAUUCACCUCAUGCCAGCUGGCAAAAAAUAUAUAUAUUUUCCAAAAGAGAAACAAGUCAUUUGUAUGCUGACACAGGUGUAGAAGCUCAUACCCCUAAGAAGAAAAACCUUUGAAGCCAAGGUCAGAAAUGGGAAUCUUAUGGCAGAUAACAAACGUGGUUGUAGUGUUAUUUGGAUUUCACAAAAUACUGGAAACCUAUUGUUUGUUUGAAAUCUACCUUUAAAUGGCUAUUGAUUCCCUCCACUCAAGGUUUCAAACACCUCCCUAACAAAAGCAUUCAACGUAGCAGUACAAAGAACUGCAGGUUGUAAUUUGUCAUGAGGACUGCAUCCCUCAAUGAAAACUUCCUGCAUGUCUAUUGGAAGAUUAGCCUAUCGAAUCCAAUGCAGUUUUGAAAGGUAAGCAUUUAAACAUGACUAAUACCAAUAGAAUUUAUUACUCACAGGCUGGAGAAUAGAAUAGAAUAAUGUAUCUAUUGUAAAUGGAGCACCAACUGCAGCACAUUCAGAAAAACAUCAUUUGGAAUCUGACUGCUGGAUUGUGAGCUUUCCAAAUGUAAAGCUAACAGAAAAAAGGAAGUCACUCUGGGGCGGUAUGUGAUUUUUAGGUUACAGUGACUACCAGAGGGCUAGUUCAGAAAGGAUAAAUGGCUGAUUUCCCACUGUUCUCCAAUGCUAAUCUUGCAACCUUGGUUUACUACUGUGACCUUGCUAUAACUCUCCUGUUUCAAAGUGGCCAUGAAGCUUUUAUUUUAUCUGGGUACUUAGAUGGUGCUUGUCACCAGGGUAUCUGAGUACUUCAAAGUCAUUAAUGGAAUUUUAUCCUCAUAGCACCCUAGCAAGACAGGGAAAUGUCCUCCUCACUUUACAGAUGAAACACAGAGAGGUAAGAAAAAUUAAAUAACUUGCCCGCUGUCACACAGAUUAUUUGUGGCUGAACCAGGACUCAGUCAGAGUCCCCUCCACUGAAACCCCUUUUCCCCUAGGUUCUGCUAUAGUAGGCAACCACUGAUCCUUCAGAUCUUGGUGUACAUGUAGAAGGUCUAGUCAGGUGCCUGAUGAAUCCAUUUGUGGC